ACAGCAGCCGCCGCGGUAAUACGAAGGUCCCGAGCGUUGUUCGGAAUCACUGGGCGUAAAGGGAGCGUAGGCGGCGUGGUAAGUCAGAUGUGAAAUCCCGGGGCUCAACCCCGGAACUGCAUCCGAUACUGCCAUGCUAGAGGAUUGGAGAGGUAGCUGGAAUUCUUGGUGUAGCAGUGAAAUGCGUGGAGAUCAAGAGGAACACUCGUGGCGAAAGCGAGCUACUGGACAAUAACUGACGCUGAGGCUCGAAGGCCAGGGUAGCGAAAGGGAUUAGAUACCCGCGUAGUCCCUGUCUCUUAUAC
rnacentral:rRNA from 1 species